AUACAUGCAGUCGAACGCUUUUGUUUCACCGGGUGCUUGCACCCACCGAGACAAAAGAGUGGCGGACGGGUGAGUAACACGUGGGUAACCUGCCCAUAAGAGGGGGAUAACAUCCGGAAACGGAUGCUAAUACCGCAUAUUUCCAAUUGUCUCCUGACAGAUGGAAAAAAGGUGGCUUCGGCUACCGCUUAUGGAUGGACCCGCGGCGUAUUACUAGUUGGUGAGGUAAUGGCUCACCAGGCGAUGAUCU
rnacentral:rRNA from 1 species